UUGAUUAAGAAAGAGAGUGUCUAGAGUAAUGGAUGUUGCAUUUGCCCAUGGAAAGUAUGUGCGUGCCAAUAAGAGAGUGGAUUUGCAAAUAUAUGAGCACUCAUUCCCCUUGUCCCUUGUUCUUCUUUGAUGGAGACAUGAUACCUGAUCCCUAGAGCUAGUUUGGCAGCCAGAAAUGAAAAGCUCUGAAGGCACCUUCUUAGUGAGUUGUACAGAAAGAAUAUUUAGUCAAAGGUAGUGUCAGACAUCUCAAAGUCUCAGAGUUAGUUCUCACCCUCGUUCUCUCCACCGUACUCCCAGUACUCAGAAGUGAGGAAUUGAUGAGAUAGAAGAGACUGAGUAUAUCCUAGACAGUGCUUAUGGAAGUGAUUCUGAUCUGA